rnacentral:rRNA from 1 species
GACGAACGCUGGCGGCGUGCCUAAUACAUGCAAGUCGAACGCAGUGGGGACGGGUGAGUAACACGUGGGUAACCUCCCAUCAGAGGGGAUAACCCUUGGAAACAGGUGCUAAACCGAUACUGAUGGAUGAACCCGCGGUUCAUUAGCUAUUUGGUGAGGUAACGGCUCACAAAGGCCACGAUGCAUAGCGGACCUGAGAGGGUGAUCGGCCACACUGGGACUGAGACACGGCCCAGACGCCUACGGGAGGCAGCAGUAGGGAAUCUUGGGCAAUGGACGAAAGUCUGAACGAGCCACGCCGCGUGAGUGAAGAAGGUUUUCGGAUCGUAAAACUCUGUUGUUAGAGAAGCGGUAUCUACCCAGAAAGCAACGGCUAACUACGUGCCAGCCGCCGCGGUAAUAC